UGAGGGCUCGAUUUCGAUUGACCGCACCCUGAUCGAUGCCGCCGGUUUCCUGGUCAACGAACGUGUCGACAUCUAUAAUAUUGACACCGGCGCGCGUUUCUCGACCUAUGUGAUCGAAGCGCCUGCGGGCUCCGGCAUCAUCGGUUUGAACGGAGCGGCCGCGCGACUUGCGAUGAUGGGCGACAAGGUCAUUAUCGUAGCCUAUGCGAAUUUUGACGAAGCCGAAGCGCAGCGCUUUCAGCCGCGCGUGGUUCUCGUUAAUG
rnacentral:misc_RNA from 1 species